UCUCCGUAGGUGAACCUGCGGAAGGAUCAUUCAUAAUAAAGUGUUUUCUGGCACUUUUUAAAAAUCCAUAUCCACCUUGUGUGCAAUGUUGGAUCUCGUCAAUCUUGGCGAGAUUUUUAUACAUCAACUCAUUCUUUAACUAAUUUGUCUGAAAAAUAUUAUGAAUACUUAAUUCAAAAUACAACUUUCAACAACGGAUCUCUUGGCUCUC
rnacentral:misc_RNA from 1 species